CAUUAGAUGACUGAUAUGCAAGUACUGGUCUCUUAAACCAUUAAAUAGUAAUUUAGCACUUACUUCUAAUG
rnacentral:tRNA from 1 species